rnacentral:tRNA from 1 species
GCCCCAGUAUUGGCCCGGCCUUCUAAGCCAGAGGCGCAUAACGGAAAGAUGCAGGUUCGAAUCCUGUCUGGGGUG